rnacentral:rRNA from 1 species
AGUCGAACGCUUCCUACCGGUGCUUGCACCGGGAAAGAAGAGUGGCGGACGGGUGAGUAACACGUGGGUAACCUACCUACAAGCGGGGGAUAACAUUCGGAAACGGAUGCUAAUACCGCAUAGAUCUUUUUGUCUCCUGGCAGAAAGAAGAAAGACGGUUUCGGCUGUCACUUGUAGAUGGACCCGCGGCGCAUUAGUUAGUUGGUGAGGUAAUGGCUCACCAAGACGAUGAUGCGUAGCCGACCUGAGAGGGUGAUCGGCCACACUGGGACUGAGACACGGCCCAGACUCCUACGGGAGGCAGCAGUAGGGAAUCUUCCGCAAUGGACGAAAGUCUGACGGAGCAACGCCGCGUGAGUGAAGAAGGUUUUCGGAUCGUAAAACUCUGUUGUUAGAGAAGAACAAGGAUGAGAGUAACUGCUCGUCCCUUGACGGUAUCUAACCAGAAAGCCAUGGCUAACUACGUGCCAGCAGCCGCGGUAAUACGUAGAUGGCAAGCGUUGUCCGGAUUUAUUGGGCGUAAAGCGAGCGCAGGCGGUUCUUUAAGUCUGAUGUGAAAGCCCCUGGCUCAACCAGGGAGGGUCAUUGGAAACUGGAGAACUUGAGUGCAGAAGAGGAAAGUGGAAUUCCAUGUGUAGCGGUGAAAUGCGUAGAUAUAUGGAGGAACACCAGUGGCGAAGGCGACUUUCUGGUCUGUAACUGACGCUGAGGCUCGAAAGCAUGGGG